GAUGAACGCUGACAGAAUGCUUAACACAUGCAAGUCAACUUGAAUUUGGGUUUUUAACUUAGAUUUGGGUGGCGAACGGGUGAGUAACGCGUAAAGAACUUGCCUCACAGCUAGGGACAACAUUUAGAAAUGAAUGCUAAUACCUGAUAUUAUGAUUUUAAGGCAUCUUAGAAUUAUGAAAGCUAUAAGCACUGUGAGAGAGCUUUGCGUCCCAUUAGCUAGUUGGAGAGGUAACAGCUCACCAAGGCGAUGAUGGGUAGCCGGCCUGAGAGGGUGAACGGCCACAAGGGGACUGAGACACGGCCCUUACUCCUACGGGAGGCAGCAGUGGGGAAUAUUGGACAAUGGACCGAGAGUCUGAUCCAGCAAUUCUGUGUGCACGAUGAAGUUUUUCGGAAUGUAAAGUGCUUUCAGUUGGGAAGAAAAAAAUGACGGUACCAACAGAAGAAGUGACGGCUAAAUACGUGCCAGCAGCCGCGGUAAUACGUAUGUCACGAGCGUUAUCCGGAUUUAUUGGGCGUAAAGCGCGUCUAGGUGGUUAUGUAAGUCUGAUGUGAAAAUGCAGGGCUCAACUCUGUAUUGCGUUGGAAACUGUAUAACUAGAGUACUGGAGAGGUAAGCGGAACUACAAGUGUAGAGGUGAAAUUCGUAGAUAUUUGUAGGAAUGCCGAUGGGGAAGCCAGCUUACUGGACAGAUACUGACGCUAAAGCGCGAAAGCGUGGGUAGCAAACAGG
rnacentral:rRNA from 1 species